rnacentral:rRNA from 1 species
AACGAACGCUGGCGGCAGGCUUAACACAUGCAAGUCGAACGCCACCUUCGGGUGGAGUGGCAGACGGGUGAGUAACGCGUGGAAACAUACCUUUUGCUUCGGAAUAUUCCCGGGAAACUGGGAGCAAUACCGGAUGUGCCCUGAGGGGGAAAGAUUUAUCGGCAAAAGAUUGGUCCGCGUUAGAUUAGGUAGUUGGUAGGGUAAAGGCCUACCAAGCCUACGAUCUAUAGCUGGUCUGAGAGGAUGAUCAGCCACAUUGGGACUGAGACACGGCCCAAACUCCUACGGGAGGCAGCAGUGGGGAAUAUUGGACAAUGGGCGCAAGCCUGAUCCAGCCAUGCCGCGUGAAUGAUGAAGGCCUUAGGGUUGUAAAAUUCUUUCACCGGGGACGAUAAUGACGGUACCCAAAGAAGAAGCUCCGGCUAACUUCGUGCCAGCAGCCGCAGUAA